UGGGGAAUAUUGGGCAAUGGGCGCAAGCCUGACCCAGCAACGCCGCGUGAGGGAAGAAGGUUUUCGGAUUGUAAACCUCUGUCGCAGAAGACGAAGGAAGUGACGGUAUUCUGUGAGGAAGCCCCGGCUAACUACGUGCCAGCAGCCGCGGUAAUACGUAGGGGGCGAGCGUUGUCCGGAAUUACUGGGCGUAAAGGGAGCGUAGGCGGUCUGAUAAGUUGGAUGUGAAAUACCCGGGCUUAACUUGGGGGGUGCAUCCAAUACUGUUGGACUAGAGUACAGGAGAGGAAAGCGGAAUUCCUAGUGUAGCGGUGAAAUGCAUAGAUAUUAGGAGGAACAUCGGUGGCGAAGGCGGCUUUCUGGACUGCAACUGACGCUGAGGCUCGAAAGCGUGGGGAGCAAACAGGAUUAGAUACCCUGGUAGU
rnacentral:rRNA from 1 species